rnacentral:rRNA from 1 species
GUGUCAGCAGCCGCGGUAAUACGGAGGGUGCAAGCAUUAAUCGGAUUUAUUGGGCGUAAAGGGCGCGUAGGCGGUAAUAAAAGUCAGAUGUGAAAUCCCAGGGCUCAACCCUGGAACCGCAUUUGAAACUGUAUUUCUAGAGGGUAGGCGGAGAAAACGGAAUUCCACAAGUAGCGGUGAAAUGCGUAGAUAUGUGGAAGAACACCGGUGGCGAAGGCGGUUUUCUAGCUUAUUCCUGACGCUGAGGCGCGAAAGCAAGGGGAUCAAACAGGAUUAGAUACCCUGGUAGUCCUUGCCGUAAACUAUGUAUACUUGGUGUAACUGGACUCAACCCCGGUUGUGCCGUAGCUAACGCGAUAAGUAUACCGCCUGGGGAGUACGCUCGCAAGGGUGAA